AAUAAGAUCGUUUUUUCAGUUUUCUUAUAUAAUAUUUUGACUCUUCGUCUUAUUUGAAAUUUUUUUACGAUUAAUAUUUUUAUUCUUAUUAGAUGAUAAAACAUGAAUAGUACUUUAUGCGUGACUAAUUUUUUUAAGUUUUUUAUAAGUUUUUUAAAUAAGACGAAUGAUUAAACCGUGACCACGGAAAAACGAUAAAUGAAGUUAUU
rnacentral:pre_miRNA from 1 species